AUUGAACGCUGGCGGCAGGCCUAACACAUGCAAGUCGAGCGGAUGAAGGGAGCUUGCUCCUGGAUUCAGCGGCGGACGGGUGAGUAAUGCCUAGGAAUCUGCCUGGUAGUGGGGGAUAACGUCCGGAAACGGGCGCUAAUACCGCAUACGCCCUGAUGGAGAAAGUGGGGGAUCUUCGGACCUCACGCUAUCAGAUGAGCCUACGGCGGAUUAGCUAGUUGGUGGGGUAAAGGCCUACCAAGGCGACGAUCCGUAACUGGCCUGAGAGGAUGAUCAGUCACACUGGAACUGAGAGACGGUCCAGACUACUACGGGAGGCAGGAGUGGGGAAUAUUGGACAAUGGGCGAAAGUCUGAUCCAGCCAUGACGCGUGUGUGAAGAAGGUCUUCGGAUUGUAAAGCACUUUAAGUUGGGAGGAAGGGCAGUAAGUUAAUACCUUGCUGUUUUGACGUUACCAACAGAAUAAGCACCGGCUAACUUCGUG
rnacentral:rRNA from 1 species